rnacentral:lncRNA from 1 species
AUUGGGCGUCCCUCUUCAGACACUAGAUUCUGGGUCCAGAAUAGUCUUCACAACUCGUUUUGAGGGUACUUGUGGUAAAAUGGGAGCCCAUAAGAAUCGGUACAAAGUGUUUUGUUUGGGAGAUGACGAUGCCUGGAAAUUAUUUGAGGGGGUGGUCGGGAGAUACGUUCUUAACAAGCAUCCCGACAUUCCGAAGUUAGCCGAGGAUGUGGCACGUCAGUGUCAUGGUUUGCCGCUAGCACUCAAAACAGUAGGUAAUGCCAUGGCGAGCAAAGUGUACCCUGAAGAAUGGAAAGAAGCAAUUGAGAUCCUAAGCGCAUCAGCUUCUAAAUUCGAAGAUAUGGAGAAAAAGGUGCUUUCGAGCUUAAAGUUCAGCUAUGAUAGUUUGCCGAAAGAUGAACUUCGAUCUUGUCUCCUGUACUGUUGCUUAUUUCCCGAAGACUCUGAAAUUCUAAAAACCGAGUUGAUAGAGUAUUGGAAAAGUGAAGGAUUUGUGCAUUCUAGCAGCGGGUGGGGGGUUCUUGGUGCUCUCGUUCGUGCAUGCUUAUUGGAGGAAGCAGGUGAUCGUGUAAAAAUGCACGAUAUGAUCCGUGACAUGGCAUUAUGGAUAGCAAAUGAAGUAGAGGAGGAGGAGGAGAACUUUUUGGUUCGUGCAGGAGUUGGAUUAACUGACGCCCCAAAGAUUGAAGAAUGGGAAGGGGUCAAAAGGAUAUCCUUGAUGCAGAACAAAAUUCAAAGUCUACCACAAAUUCCCUCUUGUCCGCGUCUGCAAACAUUGCUUCUGGCGAGUAAUCGUAUUAAGGAGAUCACUGAGAGUUUCUUUCAAUCUUUGCCUUCACUUAGAGUUUUGAGUCUAAGAAGAAAUCGUUCCCUGACUGAACUUCCUGUGGGGAUUUCAAGUCUGGUUUCAUUACACCAUCUUGAUAUGUCUUCUACUAAAGUACGUGGAUUGCCGCAAGAGCUCAAGGCAUUGGUGAAUCUGAGAUAUUUGAACUUGGAGUAUACACGUGGAAUGUCUAGAAUUCCACAGCAAUUAAUAUCAAGCUUUUCAAAGUUACAGGUACUCAGGAUGCUGCGUUGCGGUCGACGUUACCAGCCAAUAGUGGAAGAAGGCAACGUUCUAUCUGCUGAUGCUGAAUCAUUGAUGAAGGAAAUCCACUGUUUGGAACAAUUAAAUCUCAUCACCUUGUCCUUACAUGGUUCGCGUGGUGUUGAAAACUUUCUGAAAUUCCCAAAGCUGCAGAAUAUCACUCAAGCUCUGUCCAUCGAAGACUGCAACAGUCUACCGCUCAAUUUGUUACAUCUAGCAAACAUGGAGCAUCUUGAGGAGUUAUAUAUCGAGGAUAGUAAUUUGGAAGACUGGAAUGUCGACUGCGCGGGAGAGGUACAAAAAAUGCGUAAACUUCACUCGGUUCUCAUACGGAAUUGCUCAAAUGUGAAGGACUUGACGUGGCUUGUUUUUGUUCCAAAUCUCAAGUGGCUGCGAAUAGUUGGUUGUGAUGACAUGGAAGAAAUAAUCAGUGUUGAAAAAUUUGAAAAAUUGAGUGAAGUUUCAGAGAUGAUGGGAGAGCUUAACUUGUUCUCAGAACUCGAACUUCUGGUAAUAAGAAAUGCAAGUAAUUUGGAGCGCAUCUACCGCGAUCCCUUGCCCUUUCCACAGCUGAACCGAAUUAGCAUAUUGAAAUGCCCAAAGUUGAAGAAGCUCCCACUCAAUUCCAGCAGCGCAAAGGGACGUAAAAUUGCCCUUGCGGGACAGAAAGAAUGGUGGGAAGAGCUACAAUGGGAGGAUCAAGCCACUCAAAAUGCUUUCUCUCCCUGUUUCCGACCUAUUGAAGAAUAAAGUGCGAUAAGGCACAAAAGUGUGAAUAAAAUUUCUGCGCGUGCUUAAUGAUUAUCUUGUCUAUCUAUUUCAUUUAAUUUAAAAGUUUUCUACGGAGUUGCAUGUGUGUCACUUGUCAUUCUUCUGUACUGCUGUUUCCUAUUUCCAGUUAAUAAAAUUUUUUUGUUCUUAGAGUUAGAAAUGCUUUACUUGUAAGGGAGAUUCACAAUUUUCCCAUAUUAUGAUUAAUAUAUUCUUUUUACUUUCCUACUAUUUUGCAUAAUUUUUUAAUAUUAUUUUUAUUUCUAAAUAUAUUUUUAUUCAUAUUUAUUAUAAAUUAAAUAAAUGUAUGAAUAGAAAUAAAAAUAAAAAUAAAAAUUAAGUAUUAAAACAAGAAAUAUAUAUUAUGAUUUGAAUAAAAAAUAAAUAUUUUUUUGUACUUAGAAUGCCAUUUGUCGUGAGCACCUGAAUCCCCAAAGGACUCCCAGCUUCAAGUGGCUUUGACUUAGCUUGCUUUAGCUCCAUUGCACAUACUCACUCACAUGGAGGAAAUGAACAGAACAAGAAACCUCAUCAUGCCGAAUAUGAUAGAUAUGACAAGGCAUUACAUUGUAGGAAGCUCCCGAUUUCUCUAAAAAACUCUGCAGGUUCUCCGCAAUCAAGGCGUGCUCCAUCUUUAACAGAUCACUUCUACCAUUAAGAGAAGGAAGAGAGUUCCUCUCGUGUGACAGUAAAUCCUUACUUAACACAGGAUUGGAGCCAACCAAGAAGGGAAGGCAAUUUCGUUAGAUUAAGAAUCGAAUCACCAUCCAAUAUAGUAGCAUUUGAACCAGAACUCUUGUUAAAUUCUUGAAAUCUCCUGCUUUCAUCAGUCUGUAAGAGAAAUGAAGAUGAGAAUAAUAGCCAGAACCGGAUUAAAUUCAAUCUGGUCUUUUGAAGACUUCUAUAACAACUAAGAGAACCCAGUGUACCGCCUACAGAUACUGUCAGGCUUCUAUCAAAUAUCCCAAACACCAAAAACCAACCAAAUUAAGCUAACAAACCUGCAUGAAUAUCUAAAUUUCAAUGCAUAUGAAACAAACUCCAUGUUCAAUCCACCAAAACUAGCAAAUUUCAAACUUUAUCACUCAUCAUUCUCUCUCUGUCAGCUGUACGAGGCUAUGAGAUCAUGUUAUAAUGUUCAUAUUGAUGCUGAAUGUUUUGCCAGCUUGUCUGAAUUCCAUAAGAGAAUGCAAUGUGCACAUUAUUGUGCCUUGCCCACCAGUAGAUUCUAAACCACAAAAUCAUUCUGUGAAGUAGCUGACGUUUCGCACAUUCUUAUCCCUUACCAUCAAUAUUCUUCUCCUCAAGCUUAGAUCAUGGAAAUUUGAGUGAUAACACGAUCUAAACUUUAGGGGCAUAAAGUAACAUAGAAGCAACAUGGGAUGUUUUAAAAUCUAUUAUAAUUUGCUUAGGCCCCUGAAUAAAAUUAAAACUUGAAAUGAAAUAAAGUAGCAAAAUAAAGAUUGGAGGUCGCAUGCUUGAUAUUUGAUGCUGUCAAAAUUAAUUUGCAGUGCUGAAAUUGCUGCUCCAAUAAAUUUUUCAAUGGGAUUUCCAUAUUUACAACAAAUUUUCAGUAUUGAAACAGGAUUAAAAUCAUAAAGUGUCUUUUAAACAGCAGAGGCAACAAGAUCCUACAGAAAAAGAAGGCAAAAAGUAGUUACAAGCUACAGAAACGCAAAUAUUCUACUGGCCAACUCCCACUAAAUUCGAAGCGAUUCUAAAAUCUCAGCUUGUACUACUACAUCAUUCCUUCUAUGUAGCCCAACUGUACUUCACCCAGAAAUCACAUUUCUUCAUCAGAGAUAAUUUUACAUCAUUCCUUAUCAUUAGGCAUAAGGCUCCCAAUGUUCUUGGAGGAAUUAUGAUGAAUAUGAGGGUUUCAAAAAAGAAAAAAAAAUAUUAUGACAACCUCUAGGCGGAGGAAAUCAGUUUUCUAGGAAUUCGUUAGAUUGGUGAAGUUAUAGAACCUUAGCAAUUUGCUGUAGUUUGGAAUGUUUUUGCCUUUCAUUAUAGCAUUUGCAAAGGCUCAAGGAUAUAGAAGAACCUUGGCUACAAAUUCAGGGAAGAUUUCACUUAUAAUGAGAAAUAAUCACCAUUAUUCUAUACAAUGAGAAAACAGUUAUGGAAGAAAUAGAAAGAAUUACCCGAAACGAAGGAUUUGGAAGACAAUGAGACAAAAGUAUAAAGAAGAAGAAAUUGGAGAUAUAAUGGCUGCCAAUUUCUUUGAUGAACCCAUCAAAAACGGCUUGAAAAUUAAAGAAAUUGUCAAAUGCUGUAACGGAGGAAUUGAAACUGUAAAAGAUGCAAGUUAAUUCAUGGGGCUGGCCAUCUUGAUUGAUUGAACACCUACACGUGACAAGUGUGCGAUAAUCGUUAUAUCUUCAAUUUUAGGCAGUUUUUCAUUUCUUUUAUUUUAAUAGUAAAAAAAUACGCCAUUUUAGAUACAAAUGCCCCUGACUAGCCCUUUUGUAAGUUACAUUGUUUGGUGCGAUAGUCCCGCACGUGCUUGACAUUUGCCGAAUAUCUUAUGCGCAUUUUUUUUCCCCUCUAACUCAUUGUGUAUGCUCAUCUUUAUGUGCGUUAUUACCUAAACUUAUAUACCAAUCAAAAUAAAUCAUAAAGUAUCAAACGCUUUUAAAUGAUUUUUAAUAUUAAAGAACUCACUUUAAUGAUGUUUAAUUGGUAGUAGCCCUUUAUAGUCUUUAAACCUUUAGCAGUGCAAAGUCACAAGCUUUGUCCAGAAUCUAAUGGCGUAGAUUAUAGGCGAUGGGUGCCAUCACCUGGGCAACGACGUACAUCGCUUGGGCGACAAGCCAAUUUACUAGGCUCAUCGCAAACAGCCUUCGUCGCCUGGGCGAUGGCCAAAUCCAUCCAAUAAACUUUCAGCUCAUGUUUGAUAGCCUAAAAAAAGUAGUUAUGGUGACCAUCACACAUCACAUUUUACUGACAAGGUGUCUUAAUUUUCAUAGAAAAUUGUUCCUACUGAUUUUCCAAUCCUGGCCUAAUACUUGCAGAUUAUUAAACGAUUAUGGAAUGGCAGCAAACCGGCGCCGCGGAGGGGGGCCGGCCCGGGGUUGUUGUGCUGAUUUGGGAGGGGUAAUAAACCCUCUGAGGCAAUUUAGCAAACAUAUUAUGUGCCAUGAUUUUAGACCAGUAAUUUUGUCAAUAAUAGCUAAUUCGCAAUCCCAUUACAAAUCUAAUAAUCUAUUGCAUACACGCUCUUGAUGACUUGGAUUCUCAAAAAAUAAUCAUUUUACGCCGCUGAGGCGCAGAAAAAUCAAUUGUGUUGUCCCUUUAUACUUUUUCAUUUGUUUUGCCCACGUCCAAAUAAAACAGAUUCUGGUAAAUGUGAUAAGGAAAUGUUUGUUUCAAUUUCCAACCCAUAUCUCAUAAAGAAUUUCUCACUCAAAUAAAUAAAUAUUAUCCGGUAAUGGUAUGACAUUUAUUUUGAAGUAAACACCGGCACGCCAUUUUCUCAUUUUUUUCAUUUUUUGAGGACACCAUUUUCUCAAUUGAAGAAUAUAUUUUGGCCAAAAUUCACAAUGUUCUCCACAUGAUUUAAAGCACACAGAAUUCACACUUGUCUCCACAUGAUUUAAAAGCACAAGGAAUUCUCUUGACCUUAAUUACGAAUCUUUUUAUGUUUAUUGAAAUCCAAUAUUGUUGACUCAUUGGUGUAGCCAGAAAAUCAUAUUAAUAUAGUAGAAUUUAUAAAUAACCAAAGAAAAAAGUUCACGCUCUUACUUUAUUACUUUUAUAAUUUUAUUAGUACAUCUACUAACAUGUCUUCAUAAAAUAUAGUUUUAAGAGGAUAUUUUUAUGGUUGUAGAUAUUUUUAUUUUUCUUCUUAAUAAUAGAUUUAAUUUUCAUCUUUCUAAUGUUAAGUUGCACAUUUGGACUAAAUCAGAUUAAAUUUCAAAUUAGAUGACAGGCCUUAUUUUAAUAGAUUCAAUUGGAUUUUGGACAUCUAAUUAAACAACUGGAUUAAUAAAUUGCAAAUGAAUGAGAUUUAUAUGUGAUUUUAAAAUAAAAUUUGAACUUAAAUCUAUGUAUUCAAUUAAUCCAACAAGACAAAUUUAUAAUUUCUACCACCUAAAUAAAAUAUGUUAUCAGAAACUUUUGGACCAAGUAGGGGCAGUUCAUCACUUCGUCGGCCUGCUACUACUUAUACUCCUUUCUCAUUCAACUUUCACAUCUUUUAUAUUAUAUACAAACUAGAUUUGUCAUGCAAGUAUUUGACAGAAGAAAUCUCAUUGGAAAUCGGACAACUUCAAGAAAUUCAUUUAUUGAAUUUGUCACAUAAUUGCUUGUCGGUUUAUAAACCAAAAAGGUAUUCCAAAUUAAAAGUGGUAGAGAGCCUAGACUUUUCUUACAACAGAUUAAGUGGUAGAAUUCCUCCUUAAUAGACUGAGCUCAAUUUUUUGAUCUGUCUUCAAGACGUCAUACAACAACUUGUCCAACCUGAUACCAAACAAAGAGCAGUUUGCCACAUUCAAUGAAGGCAGUUAUGGAGGAAAUCUGCAUCUUUGUGGUCCAACAGUUAAUAAGAGUUGCAACAAUGCGGAGGAAAUACCAGCAAUAGAAUCCAAUCGAGGAGAAGAUGAAGAUGAAUGUGCAAUUGAUAUGGUGUCAUUCAGUUGGAGUUUCGGUUCAUCAUAUGUCACAUUCAUCAUGGGGUUUUUCGCGAUACUUUGGAUAAACUCAUACUGGCGCAGAAUGUGGAUCUAUUACAAUCAUGUAUUCACUAGGCCAUACGCGUGAUGUGCUUUUCUGCUAAAACUAGUUCACAAAUGUGAUUUCAUUAAAAUUAGUCUAUACACAUCUUUCCCUUGGCUUUUGUUGGCUCCAACUCCGGACUUUUAUUCAUAUCAUUACUUUAUGUAGUUUCCCCAAAAGGCUUGUGAUGAUUAAUGCAGUUUAUAAAUUAUUACUACUACAAUAAUGAUAUAAUAAAUAAUUUUUUUUAAGUUGUAAAAGUGAGAAAUACUAAAGAGAUCUUUAUUACAUCAUUAAUGUUCGAUCAAGAAUUUCCUCAUCCGAGCUUGCAGUCUGUGGAGGAGACUGUAUCAAUGUCGAAAUUCUCCGGACCGGCACUAUUUGCUGUUUCUCCAUUGAAUAGUGCGUCUUACUACAACAAGGUGAAACACAGCCCAGUGUUCUGAUUGGGCCCAAUGCGAAAAACAUAAAACCCAAAUUUUUGUUGACUUUGGGCCUGCUCAAAUACCAUGCCCAAUUGUGUCUAGUUGUAACAAAAGCGGCGAGAUGUUCAUGCCCAAACCCGCAAGAUUGUUUUAAUAUUUAAAAUUUAACAUGAUUCUAGAAUUUUUGUUAAUAAAAAAUAAACCACCAAGAUUCUAGUGAAUAACAAAUGUAUACAUAUACACGUGCUGUGUAGACCGGGCCAAUUCUUGUGGAAUUCUCCAACAACCAUCCUGAUUCUUGAAUUGCCGCGAAAAUUCCGCAAGCGAUGAACCCUCUCUUACGCACCACUCAUUCUCUAUCACAAUGAUCAAAAUAAAGACGAGGACGGAGACUAUUAAUCACUGAGAGUGAUUUUCUCAAUAUUUGUCAAUCACUACUAAGAUUCAUUGUCAAUCAAUAAUAUCAAUUGACACAAAGAUUGAUUGUCUUUUUUUUUUUUUCGAGAAUAUCAGUGCUUGAAUACAUUAUUUGAUAUAUAUAAUUCAAUGUAAACUCAAUCAUACUCUUAAAUUAUUUUUAUAAAUUCUCAAUAUCAGUCUUUGAUUUUAAUUCGAGUUUUGAUUCAAAUUAAUGCAAGGAUACAAAAGGACUCAAGAGCUUCAUAUAUCAAUUCUAUGUUAUUAACUUAUUAUUUCGGUGUACACCACAAAUUUAUGAGUAAUUUAUUAAAAUGUCUAAACAUAUAUGAAAAAUAGUUGAUUAUUGAUUUUCACAAAUUUCAAUAUAUCAAACAUCCUAUCGAGUUAUUAAUUCCAAAGCACAUUAUUUAAGAAUCAAUGCUAGAAUAAAUUAUUUGAUAAUUUCAAACCCAAAUUUACGCUUAAAUUCUUUAAAUUAUCUCAAUCAACUUUUUUUUUUCUUAGCUGACCAUCUAUAUCAGCUAUUGGAAAAAAAAAUAGAAUUGACGACUACUUGUAUGUUGGCCUAAUUUGAAAGUCAAUCAACAUUUAUUUUCCAUGUAAUGUUAAUGAAGCAUUUCCCUCAUUGGUCCAACAUUGCAACAUGUGGAAUUUCAGGCUUACAAUUCCUCAUUAGUCAUUACAGAUACCGAAAUUGAUUGUCAGACAAUAUUGUCAUUUCAAUAUAUGCCACAAUUUUAUGAGUAAUUUACUAAAAUCUUUAAAUAUAUAAAAUUUGCAUGUGUGUAAUAAACCUGUAUUUAUAUAUAAAAUUUGCAUAUUUAAAUUGCACCUCUCCAUGCAUCAUAUAAAAUGUCAUUUCAAUGUGAUCCACACUUUUAUGAGUUAAUAACUAAAUAUUGUCACUAAAUUUUUCCUAAUUGUUGCAUGCAUUAGAUUUUUUUACGAAAAAAAAAACAUGCUACAUUAAGUGUAAAACAAUUGAGGAAAAGAUUAGAGAACACAAUGAGAAAAGAAAUUUUUUAUACAACCUUUUCAUCAAUAAAAAUCAUAUUCAUACUAAUCAAUUCUUCAUUCCUCUUGGUAUUAACAGACUCUCACAUCCUACAAAAUCUAACCCUUAUCAUCCAACUAUCUUUAUCAUUAUUUAACUCAUGAAGAAAAGAGUACUCCAUGAAGCACACAAUACUAAAAAUUCAAAUAAGUCAAAAAUAAAAAUGCAAGAAUAUUUCUAAGGAGGAUGUUGGUUAAAUAAUAAAAAACCCAAACAUAACAAAUCUUAAAUACUUAAUGUUUAUAGACUUUGAAGAAGUCAAAAGACAUUAAACAAAAUGUUGCAUAAUUAAAUAUGGAAUUAUGACAUUAAAAUUAGGCCCUAAUGGCAUUGGUGAGUGAAGAUGAAGGAACCUUCCUUCCUAUAUUAAUUAGUUGAUGUAUUUUAAGUCACUAAAGUUUAGUUGUUGGCUUAAUAAAAUAAAUGAAUGUUUCAAGACUUAUAAUUAAUUAUUAUUAAUGGUUGCAUAUUAUUGAAUUUAAAUAGAAAGAGGAAGAGACAUGUAAUUUUUUGUAAUCUAAUAAUUAUUUUCUAUUUUGUAAUGUAAUUAUUUUUUAAUCUCAACCAAUAUAUUAGAUAAUAGAGAAUAUAAAAAGAUAAGAAAUAAUGAUGUCACAAAUCUUAAAUACUUAAUGUUUACAGAGUUUGAAGAAGCGAAAAUGCACUAAACAUAAGGUUGCAUAAUUAAAUAUAGGAUUAUGGUAUUAAAAUUAGGCUCUAAUGGCAUUGUUGAGGGAAGAUGAAAGAAACUUUCUUCCUAUAUUAAUUAAUUGAUGUAUUUUAAGCCACUAAAGUUUAAUUGUUGGCAUAAUAAAAUAAAUGAAUGUUUUAAGACUUAUAAUUAAUUAUUAUUAAUGGUUACAUAUUAUUGAAUUUAAAUAGAAAGAGGAAGAGACAUGUAAUCUUUUGUAAUCUAAUAUUUAUUUUCUAUUUUUAAUAUUUUGUAAUGUAAUUAUUUUUUAAUCUCAACCAAUAUAUUAGAUAAUAGAGAAUAUAAGAAUAUGAGAAAUAAUGAUGUCACAUCACCUCUUGUAGUCCCAACUCUCUCUCUCUCUCUCUCUCUCUCUCUCUCUCUCUCUCUCUAUAUAUAUAUAUAUAUAUAUAUAUAUAUAUAUAUACAUACAUAUUAUUUUCUAAAAAGUAUUUCUAAUUGUUUAACGUUUUAUUUAUGAGUAUUUUUAAGAGUUUAAAAAAUAUGGGAAACAGAAUCAAUUUUAUCAAAUAAAAAGAAUAUUGGUCAUUUUCUUCAUAAAGAAAGUGUUAAAAUACUUUUGGUAUUUAAGAAGUAACAAUUUUUUUUUUUGUUUCAUAAAAAAAGCAUUCAAAAUUAUAUUAAAUAAAAUUAAAGAUUAACAAAACUGACGUCUGAAUUUCGUGUAAAUUAUAAUAAGUUUAUCUCCAGCAUGAAUGACAUUAUAGCGUGGCUAGCAUCAUCAAAAUUCUGGUAACAUUCCAAGGUUGUCAAACUAAUCAUCUCAAAAUGUCAUUAUACUUGUAGCGUGCGGGCAUCAUCUUUACUUUCAGCAUCAAAAUUCUUUUAUUUAAUACACUUUUAUUUUAUACAAUUUUUAUCAUAUUAAAAUCCUUUGUAAUUUAAGCUCUCUCGGACUUUUAAAAAUGUUAUGCCACCCCUUCUUUAGCAGUAAUAGUAUAUGAUUAUGAUUUAAUUAUUUUAUUUUUUAAUUUAUCAAACACCAAUCACUUAAAUUUAACCUAAGAAAAAAUUAGAACAUCAGAUAAUUUUAAUUGAUUCUUAUUAAGUACUAGAAUUAACUGCUCCCAAUGAUAAUUUAUUAAGCAAACCAUAGUGAUCAUCUUACACUAAAGAACCAACCCAUCUUCAAAACACAAGAAUUUAGUACAAAUAAUUAUCCCAAUAAAGUUUAACGAAAAAGGAAAGAGAUAUUUUUAUUAUUUCUUUUCCUUUCUUUCAUUUCAAUUUCUUGCCUCCUGAGCUCUUCUAAAAGCCAACCAAACCACUUAUUUAAAAAAAAAAAAAAGGAACCAGACAAAGCGCAAGAAAAAAAAUUAAAAAAUUCGCAGUCUACACACAUCCCAGCACCGUAUGCGUCCAAUAAUUCAUCUCCAAUAAUUGCCCCUAUAUGACCACCGGUUUGUACUUGCAUAUAUGUGAAACAGGAUAAAAUCACAAUGUGUCAUUUAAUUAGCAGAGGUAACAAGAUCCUACAGAAAAGGGUUUACAGGAAAAGAAAGGAAAAAAAAUUGUUACAACAUACAGAAACCCAAAUAUUCUACUGGCUAACCCCCAUUAAAAUUCGAAACCAUUCUUAAAUCUCAGCUUAUACUACUUCAUCAUUCCUUCUGUGUACCCCCAACUGAAUUUCUGGCAGAAAUCACAUUUCUUCGUUAGCCUCAACUCAUGCAUCUUUUACUUUUAAUCAAACAUACUUUUUUAUCUGCUGGGCUUUUUAACAAAGAAUAAUUUUCCUUAGAUCUUUUCUAAUAGACAAGAAAGCACAAAGCACAAAUAUCUAGGAAUGUUUUUGCCCUUCAUCAUAGCACUUGCAAAGGCUCCAGGGUAUAGAAGAACCUUGGCUACAAAUUCCUGGGAAGACUUCACUUAUAAUCAACUGGAAGGAUGUCACCUCUACGGGCGUUGUACAUUUUCCACUUCUACGUGGUAUCCUGCAGAAACAAACAAUAAAACACGUGUUAUACAAGUAUUUUUUAAGUAUGAAAUACAUCAAAAGCAUUUAUGAUGCCAUUAAGUUUAGUCAAUACAAUCUCUCAAGGCAGGACAAGAGAUUUGAGAUUCAAACUCCACCUACGUAGGAAAGGAAUGUCAAAAAGAAAUGCGGUUGGGAUAGGUUAUUACGUUUUAUUCUUUUUAUUACUAGAAUUGAAUAAUGCUGCCUUUGACAGUAAAAUAAACGUCAAGUGAUAAUUGAAUUAUAAAAAAGUGAGGUAAAUGGUGAGAAAUAAUCACCAUUAUAAUUUAUAAUAUAAAAUGAGGAAAUAAUUAUGGAAGAAAUGGAAAGAAUUACCUGAAAAGAGGGAUUUGGAAGACAAUGAGACAAAAAUAUAAGGAAGAAGAAAUCGAAGAUAUAAUGCCUGCCCAUUUCUUUGACGAACCUGUAAAAUGUCGUGAUUGAGGGAAUUAAACCGUAUGACGUUUAUGAAAUACUAACUAGGCAACCCAAGAGGGGGGUGAAUUGGGAUUUUAAAAAUUAUCCUAGGCAAACCACACAACAAUUUAAUCUAAUGCCUUAAUAAAUUCGAAAACAAUAAAUUCAAUAAAAGCACAAUAAUAAAUGAGUAAGGGAAGAGAAAGCAAACCCAAGGAUUUUUACGUGGUUCGGCAAUCCCCGCCUACGUCCACGCCUCCAAGCACACCGGGCUUGAGGAUUUUACUAAGCUAGCCUCCCAAGGCUUCAAACGCUUACAAUUGACUUCCAAGGUGUCAAUGGACCUUUACAACAAGAGAUUAUCCCCAAUCUCUUAACCCAAGUGUAUCCCAACACUUACAAUCUUUUAACUUGAUUUUACAAAAAAGAUUACAAAUGAAUCUCUCUCACACAAUGUGUUUGAUCACAAGUGAAAGCUCAAUGUGUGAAUGAAUGAGAUGAAUACAAAGAUUUAAAGCUCAAUGAAAGUUGUAUUCUCAAUAUUUUGCUCAAUGAUGAUCGUUGGAAUUCUUCUUGUUUGAAUUGGAUUGAGAUUAUUUAUAGUUGGAGCUGAAAAACUAGCCGUUAUAGACUGUCUGCUAGAAAACGGUUCGCCGUUAACCAUUAACGGUUAACCGUUUAGGCCGGUCAAAGUUACCGUUGGGCCAAUUUUCAAAUAAACGGUUAGCCGUUUAUUCUUACCCUUUCGCCGUUAAUUUCCAGAGACCUGCAAAACAAAUUUGGUUUAACCGUUCUUAUUAAACGGUUCAAGGUUAACAAUCUGGAAAUAAUCGGUUAACCGUUUUCAGUAAACGGUUCACCGUUAGUUUCCAGAAUCAUCAUUUUAAUAAUACUUUACAGAACAUGCUUUCUGGAAAUUAUCGGUUAGCCGUUUUAAAUAAACGGUUAGCCGUUUGCUACAGUGAUUGCUACAGUGAAAAUAUUUUCUAAAUUUAUAAUUUAACCCCAAAACUUUAUAAAACUUUAUUACGGCCCAAAACGUUAUGAAACUUUGCACAUAGGUCCAAUUUCAGAAUUUCUAAAUAAUACUUUGUUAAUCCCAAAACUUUUUGAAAUUAUGGUAUAGCCCAAAAUGUUAUGAUACUUUUCAAAUAAGUCCUUUACCAAGAUUUCAAGCAAUACUUGUUUAUUUCAAAGUUUUCAAAAUUCUUUCAAUUAAACCAUAAACUUUGAAAAACAACCAAUUUCAUAAAAUCAUUUUUCCAUUAAAUAUGAAACAUUUAUAAUGUGAAAAUAAUGAUUUAUUUAAAAAGAAUAAAAACAAUCAAUUUCAUAAAAUUAUUUUUCCAUUAAAUAUAAAACAUUUAUAAUGUGAAAAUAAUGAUUUAUUUAAAAAGAAUAUUAAAUAAUUUGAGCUUAAAAGAUUAAUCAUUCUUAAUCUUAUUUGUUAUCAUCAAAAUCAAUAUUAUGAAAAUAUAUAUGUUAACAGUUUACUUUGGCGGCCCCCAGUCUUGUCAAUCAGAGAAUAUGUUUUGGCCGAAAUUCACAAUUCUUACCACGUGAUUUAAUUAAAGCACACAGAAUUCGUAAUUUUCUCCAGACAAUUUAAAUUAAACCCGCACUCUUUAUGGACUCCACUUUUAAGAAGGAUAUUGCCCACCGAGCAAACUAACCAAAACUCUUUUCCCUUCUGCGUUCAUUCUCCAACUCGUUGUCACUUUGUUUUGCUCUUCCUCUCUAUAUGAUUUUUAAGAACUAUUAAAUGUUUGUUUGUUUCUUAAAAAAAAUGUUUGUUUUUUUUUGUAUUAGAUGAUUAUAAAUAUUUAUUUAAUUUUAUAUUUUUUUAAAUUUUUUAUUAUUGUUUCAUUAUUUUUUAGUAAAUUUUUAAAAAUUAAAUAAAUUAUUUUUAUUUCUGUUAAUAAAAAUUUAAACUUUAAAUUUUUGAGGGAUGAGAUUUAUUUUUUUUAAAUAUUAAAAUACUUAAAAUAUCUUUUAUUUAUGUAAUAAUUUUAUUUUAUUUUUUUGUUAAAUAAUUUUAAAAAAAAUUAUUUAUUAAAAUAAUUUUAUAAUUUUUAAUAAAAACUCUUAUUAUCAAUUAAAUAACUAAAAUUAUUUUCAUAAAAACUUUUAUAAUAAAAAUCCUACCACACCGCAGAGUCUGCACUUACCUGCGCGUACUGUUUAAAACCCCUCACCGGCUCUGCUCUCGCCACCAAUAUUAAGAAAGAUACUUUGUUGUGGUGGCAUUUUGGUAAAAAAUAUGGGCCCCCAAAAUAAUCAUAAUAAUUAAGGAUUUAGCUAUGUGGCAACGGGUACACCAUACACUUUUUUUUUUUUUUUUUUUGUGCUGCCACAGUUAGAUCCAACACAAAAGUAGUAUUAAGAGCAAGAUGUGUUUGUUUGUUUAUUAACAAUGCAAUCCCUAAUAUUUGUCAAAAAUUUUAAAAAGUUAAAGUUUAUAAAAUUUUGUGCCAAUAUUUUUUUCCCAAAUUCUCUUAGCACAAUUAAUUGUGUUAUGGUAUCCACUUUUGCAGGUUAUAAUCAAGAGAUCAGACAUGAUAGAUACAUAAAAAAUAAUAUAAAAUAAAAAAAUUUUGAAUUUUUGUUAAAGCUCUCAUUUCUAAUAAUUUGUUAAAAUAUUCUUUUACCUAAGAAAACAAACUCAUUGACAUAAUAAAAAGAGUUUUACUGAUAAAAUAAUAAUUAUUCAAUUAUUAGAAGUGCUACAGUUAGAUUUUUUUAAGUUGAAAAUGUAGAGAAGCAUGGAGGAGAAGAGGAGAAGAAGACACAUAAUAAAACAUAAAAAUUUUCAAUUUAUUUAUACCUGAAUUCCAUUGUAUGAUGAAUAGAUUGUAGGUACAAAAAUAUAUUUAUGUGAUUUUCUUUUAUAUAAAAAGUUCAAUUCAUUAUUGCUUAUAUGAUAUAGAGCAAAUUAAUCUUAAGGUAAUGAGAAAGUAGCUUCAAUGAGAAUGCCAAGCUUCUCUUAUUGAUUGUAAUUGAUUGAUUACAUAUUUAAUUAAAAAAAUUCAAAAGGACGUAGAGGUGAGGGUUUUGAAGAAAGAGAAAAAAGAAAUUACUUCAAUAAUUUGUAAAUACAGAAGAGAUUAGGGGGUCAAAAAAUACAAAAAGUAGGGUAUGGUGGACCCAUUGUACCGUAGCUCAACUCAAGCCAAUAAAUUAAUUGUUUUAUCCUAUAAAUAAAAAUUAAUGUUGUGUAUUUGCCUAUAACUUGAGGAGGUAAUAAAAGUCUUUCGUUAUACUCUACUGUUAGUUUCUCGCCUUUUAUUCCUCUGAAAUCUUUCAACAAAAAUGGGUGGCGUCAUCUCAACCUUCUUAUCAGCGGACACAAUUCGUCCAAUUUUAUCUUACGUUGGUGGAGAAGCUAAGUAUAUAUGGGGUCUAAAAGAUAAUCUUGAUGACUUGCAGACUCAGAAGGAGAAGUUGAUUGAGAAAAAAGAAGAUAUGCUGAAUGAGGUUGAGCUUGCUGAACAACGACCCCGAACCAGACGGACGAGAUCGGUGCAACGCUGGUUUGAAAGAGUGGAUCGAAGGGUAACUGAAGUUGAGAGGCUGCAACAAGAAAGAGAUCAAGAGAUUGACAGAUUGUGCCUUGGAGGCUUCUGUUCCAAGAACUUGAUCUCAAGCUACAGCUUCGGGAAAAGAGUGGAGAAGAUGAAGAACGAAGUGAUCGAAUUGAAGAAAGGAGGAGAAGCAAUCAAUCCACUUUAUGAGGAGGUACCAGAAGGUGCAGCGGUUGCAAUAGCUGUUGACCGAACAAUUGUCGGUCAAGAAUCAAUACUAGACCGAGUUUGGAGAUGCAUCACCGAUCAAGAACAGAAUAAGGGAAUUAUUGGCUUAUAUGGUAUGGGGGGCGUCGGCAAAACUACUCUGUUAAAGCAAGUCAAUAACAAAUUCUGCAGUGAUGAACAGCAUCAUUUUGGUGUCGUUAUCUGGUCGGUUGUGUCGAGAGAGCCAAACUUGAAGCAGAUUCAAGUGGAUAUUGGAAAAAGGAUAGGCUUCUCAACAGAUUCAUGGCAGAGAAAAAGUUUUGAAGAAAGGGCUUCAGACAUCACCAACGCUUUAAAGCAUAAGAAGUUUGUAUUGUUAUUGGAUGAUAUAUGGGAGUCCAAAAUUGAUUUAACCGAAUUGGGCGUCCCUCUUCAAAGAUUAGAUUCUGGGUCCAGAAUAGUUUUCACAACUCGUUUUCGUGGUACUUGUGGUGAAAUGGGAGCUGACGAGCGGUUCGAAGUGUCCUGUUUGGGAGAUGACGAUGCCUGGAAAUUUUUUGAGGGGGUGGUUGGGAGAUACGUUCUCGACAAGCAUCCCGACAUUCCGGAGCUAGCCAAAGCUAUGGCAAGGCAGUGUCAUGGUUUGCCGCUAGCACUCAAAACAGUAGGUAAUGCCAUGGCGAGCAAAGAGUACCCUCAAGAAUGGAGUCACGCCAUUGAGAUCAUAAGCAGAUCAGCUUCUAAAUUCAAAGAUAUGGAAAAACAGGUGCUUUCGCGUUUGAAGUUCAGCUAUGAUAGUUUGCCCACUGACGAACUUCGUUCUUGUCUCUUGUACUGUUGUUUAUUUCCGGAAGACUCUGAAAUUCCAAAAACCGACUUGAUGGAGUAUUGGAAAAGUGAAGGAUUUGUGGAUUCUAGCAGCGGGUGGGGGGUUCUUGGUGCUCUCCUUCGUGCAUGCUUAUUGGAGGAAGCAGGCUUAGUGGACGAAGGAGGUAAUCGUGUAAAAAUGCACGAUAUGAUUCGUGACAUGGCAUUAUGGAUAGCAAAUGAAAUAGAGGAGGAGGAGGAGAACUUCUUGAUUCGUGCAGGAGUUGGAUUAACUGACGCCCCAAAGAUUGAAGAAUGGGAAGGGGUCAAAAGGAUAUCCUUGAUGGAGAACAAAAUUCAAAGUCUACCACAAAUUCCCACUUGUCCGCGUCUCCAGACUUUGCUUCUAAAUCGAAAUCAUAUUGCGAAGAUCACUGACAGUUUCUUUCAAUCUUUGCCUUCGCUUAGAGUUUUGAAUCUAAGUGGAAAUCAUUACCUAACUGAACUACCUGUAGGAAUUUCAAGUUUGGUUUCAUUACACCAUCUUGAUCUGUCUUAUACUCCCCUAACUGAACUUCCUGUAGGGAUUUCAAGUUUGGUUUCAUUACACCAUCUUGAUCUGUCUUCUACUGAAGUACGUGGGUUGCCGCAAGAGCUCAAGGCAUUGGUGAAUCUGAGAUAUUUGAACUUGGAGUAUACACGUAAAAUGUCUAGAAUUCCAGAGCAAUUGAUAUCAAGCUUUCCAAAGUUACAGGUGCUCAGGAUGCUGAGUUGCGGUUCUGAGAUAUUUCCAAUAGUGGAAGAAGGCAACGUUCUAUCCGAUGGUGCUGAACCAUUGAUUAAGGAAAUCCACUGUUUGGAACAAUUAAAUCUCAUCACCUUGUCCUUACGUGGUACGCGUGGUGUUGAAAACUUUUUGAAAUUCCCAAAGCUGCAGAAUAUCACUCAAGCUCUGUCCAUCGAACACUGCAACAGUCUACCGCUCAAUUUGUUGCAUCUAUCAAACAUGGAGCAUCUUGAGAAGCUACACAUCGAGGAAAGUAAUUUGGAAGACUGGAAUGUCGACUGCGCAGGCGAGGUACAAAAAAUGCGUAAACUUCACUUUGUUACAAUAUACGAAUGCUCAAAUGUGAAGGACUUUACGUGGCUUGUUUUUGUUCCAAAUCUCAAGUGGCUACGAAUAUGUUAUUGUGAUGACAUGGAAGAAAUAAUCAGUGUUGAAAAAUUGAGUGAAGUUUCGGAGAUGAUGGGAGAGCUUAACUUGUUCUCAGAACUCGAACUUCUGGUAAUAAGAAAUGCAAGUAAUUUGGAGCGCAUCUACCGCGUUCCCUUGCCCUUUCCACAGCUGAAGGUAAUUGACAUAUCGGAAUGCCCAAAGUUGAAGAAGCUCCCGCUCAAUUCCAGCAGCGCAAAGGGACGUAAAAUUGUCAUUUACGGGGAGAAAGAAUGGUGGGAAGAGCUACAAUGGGAGGAUCAAGCCACUCAAAAUGCUUUCUCUCCCUGUUUCCUACCUGAUGAAUAAUAAAGUGCAAUAAGGCGCAAAAGUGUGAAUAAAAUUUCUGCGUGUGCUUAAUGUUAGGCACUAUUAUUCAGGCUUAAAUAAUAACAAUAAAAUACUACACCGUGUCUGCUUUCUUUUACUUUUCUUGGUUCUGUUGUAAAAUUCAGUUCUAUUUGAAGGAAAUUAUUAACAUCAAAACUAAAUACUUCGUGAGCAUCUACUGACAACAUACUCCAGAUGACACCAUAACCAUAUCAUAUAAAGCAAGAAAUGUGAAAUAAAUACAAAAUGAAUCACAGGAGGAAAUCACCACACUCUGCGGUCUCUCCUGCUAAACCCUGCAGUUAGAAUGCCAUUUGUCGUGAGCACCUGAAUCCCCAAAGGACUCCCAGCUUCAAGUGGCUUUGACUUAGCUUGCUUUAGCUCCAUUGCACAUACUCACUCACAUGGAGGAAAUGAACAGAACAAGAAACCUCAUCAAGCCGAAUAUGAUAGAUAUGACAAGGCAUUACACUGUAGGAAGCUCCCGAUUUCUCUAAAAAACUUUGCAGGUUCUCCGCAAUCAAGGCGUGCUCCAUCUUUAACAGAUCACUUCUACCAUUAAGAGAAGGGAGAGAGUUCCUCUCGUGUGACAGUAAAUCCUUACUUAACACAGGAUUGGAGCCAACCAAGAAGGGAAGGCAAUUUCGUUAGAUUAAGAACCGAAUCACCAUCCAAAAUAGUAGCAUUUGAACCAGAACUCUUGUUAAAUUCUUGAAAUCUCCUGCUUUCAUCAGUCUGUAAGAGAAAUGAAGAUGAGAAUAAUAGCCAGAACCGGAUUAAAUUCAAUCUGGUCUUUUGAAGACUUCUAUAACAACUAAGAGAACCCAGUGUACCGCCUACAGAUACUGUCAGGCUUCUAUCAAAUAUCCCAAACACCAAAAACAAACCAAAUUAAGCUAACAAACCUGCAUGAAUAUCUAAAUUUCAAUGCACAUGAAACAAACUCCGUCUUCAAUCCACCAAAACUAGCAAAUUUCAAACUUUAUCCCUCAUCACUCUCUCUCUGUCAGCUGUAUGAGGCUACGAGAUCAUGUUAUAAUGUUCAUAUUGAUGCUGAAUGUUUUGCCAGCUUGUCUGAAUUCCAUAAGAGAAUGCAAUUUGCACAUUAUUGUGCCUUGCCCACCAUUAGAUUCUAAACCACAAAAUCAUUGUGUGAGUAGCUGACGUUUCGCACAUUCUUAUCCCUUAUCAUCAAUAUUCUUCUCCUCAAGCUUAGAUCAUGGAAAUUUGAGUGACAAACAUGAUAACAUGGUAACACCAUCUAAACUUUAGGGGCAUAAAGUAACAUAGAAGCAACAUGGGAUGUUUUAAAAUCUAUUAUAAUUUGCUUAGGCCCCUGAAUAAAAUUAAAACUUGAAAUGAAAUAAAGUAGCAAAAUAAAGAUUGGAGGUCGCAUGCUUGAUAUUUGAUGCUGUCAAAAUUAAUUUGCAGUGCUGAAAUUGCUGCUCCAAUAAAUUUUUCAAUGGGAUUUCUAUAUUUACAACAAAUUUUCAGUAUUGAAACAGGAUUAAAAUCAUAAAGUGUCUUUUAAACAGCAGAGGCAACAAGAUCCUACAGAAAAAGAAGGCAAAAAGUAGUUACAAGCUACAGAAACGCAAAUAUUCUACUGGCCCACUCCCACUAAAUUCGAAGCGAUUCUAAAAUCUCAGCUUGUACUACUACAUCAUUCCUUCUAUGUGGCCCAACUGUACUUCACCCAGAAAUCACAUUUCUUCAUCAGAGAUAAUUUUACUUCUAAUCAGAGAUUAUUUUUUAUAUGCAUGGCUUUACAGUAAUGAAUAAUUUUCCUUAAAUCUUUUCUAACAGACAAGAAAGCACAAAGCACAAAAAUUCAUAUAAACAACUUUUCUCGAAGCUUUUUCAUAAGAAAACCUGAACAUGAUUGCUUCUCUUAGAAGGCCCCCUAGCUUCCUGCAAGAACCUGGUGUUCCAAAAAAAAAUGAUUAUAAUUAGGCAUAAGGUCCUAAUGUUCUUGCAGGAAUUAUGAUGAAUAUCAGGGUUUCAAAAAAAAAAAAAUUAAGACAACGAUUACGGAUUUAAAGCACACAGAAUUUACACUUUUCUCCAUGUGAUUUAAAAGCACACAGAAUUCUCCUGACCUUAAUUGAAAUCCAAUAUUGUAGACUCAUUGUUGUAGCUAGAAAAUCAUAUUAAUAGAGUAAAAUUUAUAAAUAAUCAAAGAAAAGAGUUCACGCUCUUACUUCAUUACUUUUAUAAUCUUAUUAGUAUAUCAACUUACAUGUCUUCAGAAAAUACAGUUUUAAGGGGAUAUUUUUAUGGUUGUAGAUAUUUUUAUUUUUCUUCUUAAUAAUAGAUUUAAUUUUCAUAUUUCUAAUGUUAAGUUGCAGAUUUGGACUAAAUCAGAUUAAAUUUCAAAUUAGAUCACCGACCUUAUUUUAAUAGGUUCAAUUGGAUUUUGGACAUCUAAUUAAACAACUGGAAUAAUAAAUUGCAAAUGAAUGAGAUUUAUAUGUGAUUUUAAAAUAAAAUUUGAACUCAAAUCUAUGUAUUCAAUUAAUCCAACAGGACAAAUUUAUAAUUUCCACCAACUAAAUAAAAUAUGUUAUCAGAAACUUUUGGAUCAAGUCGGGGCAGUGUAUUACUUCGUGGGUCUGCUACUACUUAUAGUCCAUUCUCAUUUCAACUUUCACAUCUUUUAUAUUAUGUACAAAUUGGAUUAUAUUCUAAAAAAGUGUUUCUAAUUGUUUAACGUUUUAUUUCUGGGUAUAUUUAGAGAUUAAAAAAUAUGGGAAACAUAAUCAAUUUUAUCAAAUAAAAAGGAGUAUUGUUCAUUUUUUCAUAAACAAUGUGUUAAAAUACUUUUGGUUUUUAAGAAGUAACAAUUUUUAUUUUCAUAAAAUAGCAUUCAAAAUUAUAUUAAAUAAAAUUAAAGAUUAACAAAACUGACAUCUGAAUUUCGUGUAAAUUAUAAUAAGUUUGUCUCCAGCAUGAGUAACAUUAAAGCUUGGCUAGCAUCAUCAUAUUUUAUCUCCAGCAUCAAAAUUCUGAUAACAUCAACAUCAUAAUUCCAAGGUUGUCAAACUAAUCAUCUCAAAAUGUCAUUAUACUUAUAGCGUGCUGGCAUUAUCUUUACUUUCUGCAUCAAAAUUCUUUUAUUUAAUACACUUUUAUUUCAUACAAUUUUUUAUCAAAUUAAGAUCCUUUGUGAUCUAAACUCUCUUGAACUUUUAAAAAUCUUAUGCCACCUCUUCUUUAGUAAUAGUAAUAGUAAUAAUAUGAUUAUGAUUUAAUUAUUUUAUUUUUUAAUUUAUCAAACACCAAUCACUUAAAUUUAACUCAAGAAAAAAUUAGAACAUCAAAGAAUUUUAAUUGCUUCUUAUUAAGUACUAGAAUUAACUUCUCCCAAUGAUAAUUUAUUAAGCAGACCAUAAUGAUCAUCUUACGCUAAAGAACCAACCCAUCUUCAAAACACAAGAAUUUAGUACAAAUAAUUAUCCCAAUAAAGUUUAACGAAAAAGCAAAGAGAUAUUUUUAUUAUUUCUUUUACUUUCCUAGUGGCUCUGCUACUACCUAUAGGCUAUAGUCCAUUCUUAUUCAACAUUCAGAUCUUUUAUAUUAUAUGCAAAUUAAAAUAUAUUCUAAAAAGUGUAUCCAACUGGUUAACAUAUUAUUUCUAGAUAAUAAUCAAUUUUAUCAAAUAAAAAAGAGUUUUUGGUCAUUCAUUUGGCUCCGUUGCCACUUGUACGUUACAAAAGCUUUUGUCUAUGCUGACUCAGUUACUGUAAAAUGUCGUUCAGCCCCUUAUACUCUAUGUUAUUUAUAAUUUAUUUAUAAGAAUUAUGAAAAUUUCUACUUACCUACACUAUCAAAAUUCAAUUUAUCUCCUCACAAUCUUUUUCAUUUACUAUUUUUUUCUAAGUAUUAAAAGAGUUCUAUUUACAACCACGACAUAUUAAUCAUCAUAACACACAAAUAUUAAUAAAAAGAUAAAAAUAUCCUUAAAUUAAUACUAAAAAUGCUUUCCUCUCUUCUUUAUAAUAUCAUAUUAUAAUAAUUAAUACUUUCAUGAUAAAAGAAUUAAAAAAAUAAAAAUAAAUUCCCUUUGAAUCCAUCCCUCUCUAAUAUCAUUUUCUCUUCAUUAGGAACAUUUAUCGACAAUUGAAGCCACCAUCAGACUCAUCACACAGAGAGAGUGAGAGAGGGGAAGAAGAAACAGAGAAAAAAUAUAUGAGACAUUUACAAUUUUAUAGUGUGUUUAUUCAACGGGAUUUAUAUAUAGUUGCUAAGGGGUUUCAUCAGACACAAGGAGUUGAUUACACUGAAACUUUUAGUCUAGUAGUUAAGGCUUCAACAGUCAAAGUUAUUCUUAGCCUAACAGUACUUAACAAGUGAAUAAGCAGACAAGUGGAUGUUAAUAAUGUCUUCCCCUAGCAGUACUUAACAAAUGAAUAAUCAGACAAGUGGAUGUUAACAAUGCCUUCCUUAAUGGCAUUUCAGUUGAAGAAGUUUACAUGGCACAACCUGAGGGGUUUGUGGAUCCUACUAAACCCCAACACAUCUGCAAAUUAAAAAGGACUAUAUAUGGCUUGAAGCAAGCUCCCAGGCUUGGUUUGACAAAUUCAAAGCUGCAAUGAUUACUCAAUGGCAUUUUCAACACUCAAAAUCAGAUAAGUCUCUCUUCUAUAAAUGGAUCAAUGGUCAUGUAAUUCUAGUUCUGGUUUAUGUUGAUGAUAUCAUACUCACUGGUUCAAAUUCUUACUUAAUUCAGCCAGUCAUUCAAGACAUGCAUCACACCUUUGCUUUAAAAGACUUGGGAGCUCUUAACUAUUCUCUAAGAAUUGAAGUGGUUAAAUUAGCAAAUGGCAUUUAUCUGUCUCAAGCAAAAUAUAUUGCUAAUAUAUUGGCAAACAUGAUAUGGUUCACUGCAGUCCAUUACAUAUUCCUAUGUCUACCAGUCACUACCUCACAAAAGAUUCAAGUGACAUUAUUGCAAAUGUGUCUCAGUACAGAAGUAUCUUAGGUGCAUUGCAAUAUGUUACUCUUACAAGGCUUGACAUAACAUAUAUAGUUAAUAAACUAAGUUAGUUUUUAUUUAGUCCUCGAACACAACAUUGGGAGGCUCGCAAAAGGUUGCUAAGGUACUUAAAAAGAAUUUUACAUCUUCGAUUGCAUUAUUACACAAAUGGAGCUAUGCAGAUACAUUAUUUCAUAGAUUCUAAUUGGGCAUGUGAUAGGGAUGACAGGAAAUCACUUGCUAGUUUUGCAGUCUAUCUAGGUCCCAAUUUAGUCUCAUGGUCAUCCAAGAAACAAGCAGUGGUAUCAAGGUCAAGUAUAGAAGCAGAAUAUAGAGCAUUAGCUCAUGCUACUUCAGAGGUCAUGUGGAUACAAUCUCUUCUUAGUGAGUUGCAAAUUAAACUUAGCACCACUCCCAUAAUAUGGUGUGAUAAUCAAGAAGCUAUUGCCUUAGCAUACAAUCCAUUUUAUUAUGCCAAAACCAAACAUGUUGAGCUAGAUAUACACUUCAUUCGAGACAAAGUUGUAGCUAAGAGCAUUGAGGUUAGUUAUGUGCCCAGUGAAGGUCAACCAACUGAUGUAUUAACCAAAGCUCUCACUUUUAAGCAGUUUCAUUGCUUGUGAAGCAAGCUGAAUGUCUAUCCUGGACAUUUUAGCUUGAGGAGGGAUGUUAGUGAUAUUGAAUUUCAAGCAAAGCAGAGCACAAAAUCAUUAUAUGACUGACCACAACUGAUUCACUCAUUAAGCUAACUUGGCAAGUUAGUUAUACAGCUCACCUCACAUGUAUCAAAUUUCGCGUGUGUAUAACAGAUUGUAUGAAUCAUUUAGCUUGCUAUAUAAAUAUGUAAUGUGUACUCAGUUUUCAAUUAGUUAAUUACAAAGGAAUCUUAUAUUUGCUUCUAUACAAAUUCUCUUUACUUUUCUUUCAUUUUCUUGCCAAACAACACUUUCUUUAGAAUUCUUUCAUGAAAGGCAAUGAGACAAAAAUGUAAAGAAGAAGAAAUUGAAGAUAGGGUAGGGCUAUUGGCUCUCUAAAAUUUAUUUUGGACAUUGAUGUGAUCUUUAAAAAAAAAUUACAUAAUUUUAUUCUUAGGUUAUGUUUAUCUCUUUGAGUUGUUAUCAUAGUUCAUUUUGAUUAAAUAAAAGUAGUUGUUGUAUUAACAUAAUUCUAAUGAACAUAGGUUUUAUUGUGCUUUUAAUCUUUAGGUCCAACUUCUGUAAGAUAGUAUUUAAACCAGCAUCAAUGUCAAUAAUAGCAGGCUGAAAUGUUUCUUUUGGAGACUGAAUAGUUGUAUUGGGAGAUAUGUCCCUCAAAGUACCAAAAACAUAUUUAUUAAAGCUUAGUUUCCUUGAAUUUGCCCAUUUAUCACUUGUUCUUUUUAUUUUGUUUGAUUUCCUGUUGUAAUAAUUUGUGUCUGUAAGACUAUAACAGACACUCACAUUUUAAUAGUUCUUUAUAUCACUAAAUUAACCUUAAUGUAAAAUUAACCGUAAUGUAAUUUACUAUUAAGGACAAUUUAAUAAAAUAUAGUUCAAUAAAUUUUUAUCCAACAUCUUAUUUUAUCUACAAUAAACUAGAUAAACAAUGAAGAAAUGAAUAAAAGUUCACGUGAAAACGAUGUCUAUACUUAUGGGCUAAACCUUUUUUUUUCAGUUUUUUUGUUAAUAGAAUUGUUAGGAAAACAUCAUGUAACACGUUCCAUCUUUUGUAACAAAAGGAAUUAAAAACAGAGGUGGAGGAAGAACAAUAAAUUGCACCACUACAACAUAUGAAAAACGAAAGAAAUCAAAGGAUAAAAUCUGUUUCAAAUUUGUUUUCUGAUCUUCACUCAAUCUAAUCUGCAUGCUUUCAUGGAUUUGAAAAACAAAAUUGAAUUGCGACAUUAAAGAGAAGAACAAACAUAUGUCAAACCAUAUUAUGAAAGCAAAAUAAAAGUUGAUAAAAAAUGAAAAAAAGUUCAAACAUUUUGUUUGUGAUGAUGAAUAUUUUAUUAGAUGUAAAGAGGAAAUAAGAUAAUUAAAGAAAUGGGUAAUGAGAACAAUAAAGGAAGUCGAAAAAUAUUUCAAAUACAAAUUAAUAUUUUGAAAUUAUUAAUUGAGUGUUCAAAAUAAAUUUUAGAAUGUAAGAAGUGCAUCGCUGCCCAUUUCUUUGAUGAACCCAGUAGAAACAGCUUUAAAAUUAUAGAAACUGUAAAACGCUGUAAAAGUGAAAACUUUAAAAAGCUUGCUCUAGUAUUUAAACCUUUAAUAGUGCAAAGUCACAAGUCUUGCAGCUAGUUGAUAUAUCCCCAAGCUAAAAACAUGUGUUGUAUACUCAUUUUUUAUAGUGAUACUAGAACUAUUAUUAUCUUAUGUCUAUGUACGUAUGUUUACAAUUUAUUUCAUAAAUUUACUGAGACAAGUGCCGAAAUUUAUGGCGAAGUACGUCCAAUCUAUUGUCACUAAGGCCCUAUUUGGUAUUUAGAUAAUGUAGUUUUUGUGAAAAAAAAUAAUGUAAUUAAGAAAUAAAAAUUAAUAAUAUAUAGUAAUAUGACUUGUAAAUAAUAAUUUGAAAAAAAUAAUAAAGAAUUAUAAGUUUUUUCAAAAUAAAAGUGGUGGAUCAAAUUAAUUUAGCUUUCAAGUCAUAGCAAGUAGUGUUUAUCAAAUAUAAAAAGUUAUAAUUAUCCAAUCUCAAUCAGAACCUGAGCAUUUUUAGCAAAAACAAUACUUUUAUUCUAUAUUUUACAAAUAUCUUCACCAUUAUUCAGAGCACCAACCCUUAACUUUUUUCGAUUAUGUUUGGUAUAACUUUUUAAGCAGAACUUUUACUAAAAAAAAUAAUUGUUUGAUUGUCAAUGAGAUUUUUUAUUAAAAUUUCUAGAAUUACUUUAAUAGGCAAAUUUCUUAAAGUUAUGUUAUGAAAUGAAUAAAAUAAAAUUGUGAAAUAUAUAAAGCAUAUUUUAGACAAUAUAAUAUUUUUAAAAAAUUUUAACCUCUACUCCACAAAAUUUAAAAUUUAAACUUUUAUUAGUACAAAUAAAAUAAUUUAUUUAAUUUUUUAAAAAUUUUACUCAAAUUAUAAUUAAAUAAUAUUAAGUCUUAAAAAAAAGUUAUAAGAUUAAAUAAAUAUAUUUGACUGAACAUACACUAACUUGAACUCUUGAAAAAUAAAUAUUUUGCGCCACAUAAGUAGGGUCCAAUUAUGUUGCAACUGAUGUAUUAUACCAGAGUUCCUCUUUUUUUCCCCGUAUUAUUGGAUAAUUGAUGCAAAUUAAGCAAAGUUGUUGGGUGCUUCUCGUUCAAUCUAGCAGUUGAAAUUAAUUAUUGGAUAAUUGAUGCAGCGACUAGCAACCGUUGCAGCCGGUUGUAUAUUAAUUUAAUAGCAGUUCAGCGAGCGUGGGUUUCGAAAAUUUGUUAGUGCUGAUUAGAGUCUCACUGAUUUCAUCUGAAAAUUGAUCUCGAGACAUCAAUUAAGACAUAAAAUUAGAAUUAGGGGAUCGCAGUUUUUUUGGGAAUUAAAAUUUCCCUAUGAUUCAUACAUGAAUAUGGCCUCUCACUUGUAGGGAAUUGACGGUGAAAUUAUAAUCGUCACAGCAGAAUGCAAUCAAAAGUUACGGUGCUAAAAGUUUAGGCAUAUAUCAAAUUAGAGUGAAUCUCGCAUCACUUUGAUUUGGUCUUAUGCCGAUCGAAUCACCUGAUGCAGUAUGUAAUUCCUUAUUAAAACUUGCAAUUUUUUAUUUUGAAAAGAUUUAAAAUUUGUAAUUUCAUUACAGAAAUGAGGCGGGGGCUCACAAACAGAAAGCUAGCGAUUUAAAGAGCCACAGUCAAGCUUUAGAAGCCGAUGGUAACAUAGUUAGAACAAUAGAAUCUGAUAGCGUUAGGGAUUCAUAAGCUAUUUGUAAGUAUUUGUACUCCCUGACUAAAUAAUUUGGGAAUAUAAGGAUGCAAUAAGAGUUGAGUGGUCUUUAUUCCAAUAGCAUUAUUUUUUUCGAGCUUCAUCCGUGCUCUAUUCAAUCUUUAUGUGCCGCUUGUGUUAUGUUCCUGCAUAUCUAAUUACCUUUAGAUGCUAGUUGAUAUUUGACAAUUUUGCAGGUUAAGGAUAUUAGAUGGGAUGCAGAGCUUGGCAGUCAGAACAUGGAAUCACGGUUGGUUGAAUACUUUGUAGAUGAGUUUAAUAAACAAGUUGGUAAUUGGGUGAAGUGAGGAAGUCUCCCAAGGCCAUGGCUGAACUGAAGAAGCAAGUUAAAUAUACAAGAGCAAUUCUUUGUGCGAACACAAUGGAACCAAUAUCAGUUAUAUCUUUCCACGAUGAUAGGGACUUCAGAUAAGUGGAGUUAAAGUUCAGAUUUUACUGUUUGAGGUGCGUUUGAAGUUUAUUAACAAAAUUAAUGUGUUCUUUAAAUGAGUGAGGAACUGUAGAACAUGACAAGUAGAGUUUAUUGUGUGAGGGAUGCAUAUUCUCUUACAAGUGCUUUGUUCUUUAAUAUAGCACUAUAAGACAUCUUCUGAUGAAAAAUAGAGUCAAUAAAAUUACUCCAGACUGACUGGGCCGUUACGUUUUGGAUUCCAAUUCUUGCAUGAGAUUUCUUUUUCCUUUUUUUCUUUUUUCAAAUUUACUAGUGGUACUUUCAUUUGGUAAACUAUUCUAUACAUACAUAUAUAUAUAUAUAUAUAUAUAUAUAUAUAUACUCUAAUCAAUUAUAUUGGCUUAUUCUCCUUUUAUGUUGAUUCACGCUGCUGGUAUAGAUAAAAUUUAUUUAUUAGUUUUGGUGAAAAAUUUGUUUUGUUGCACACGGAUAGUAAACCCAAAUACAUUCAUAUGUGUUAGAGCAGCUCAUUAUGCUGAACAGAAGAAGGUGAAGACUAAGAUGAAGAAAAUACAGAGCAAGUUACAGGGCAAGUGUGUCAGCAGUGCCAGCUCAGCUAACAGCUCAGCAGAUUAGUUAAAGAUGGUUGUAAGCAUGAUGUGCAUUGUACUGAAGUUAGUUAGCUUUGAUUACAGUUAGUCUUUGGAUUAGUUAAAUGAAGUUACCGUGAUUGCAUUGUAUAUAAACAUGUGAUGCUUUGUAAAAAGGUUAAGCAAAAUAAAAAUCAAAGUUUGUUAAGGAAAUAUCUCCAGAAUUAUCAAUUCAUUUUCUUAGUAACCAAACAACUUUAUUUUCAUUUUCUUUCAUGGUAUCAGAGCCACUCUAAUGGCUAGUUCCAGUAGCACAACAUCAAAUCCAAAUCAAAUGAAUAUAAAUCAAUCAUCACAUAUCUCCUUUUCGUUCAGCACUCCAGUCAAAUUGGAUCGAUCAAAUUUCAUGAUUUGGCGAAAGCAAGUUCUUACUACAAUAAGAGGAAAUCGUCUUGAAGAUUUUAUUUCUGGAAAUCAAAUCAUACCAGAACAAUACAUUUCUAAUACAGUAGCUGAUGGAUCAGUACAGAGAAUCACGAAUCCAGCUUACAUCAACUGGCGAGCUCAGGAUCAAACUUUGCUUGGCUGGAUUUUGUCAUCCAUAAGUGAAGGUAUCUUAAAUACUGUUCUUAAUUGCGAAAAUUCAUUUGAAGCAUGGAGAUCAAUUGAAAAACAAUUUGGAGUACAAUCUGAGGCUAGAGUUAUGCAAUUGAGGUAUGAAAUGAAUGUCCUUAGAAAAGAGAAUAUGUCUAUUGAGGAGUACUGUUUAAAAGUAAAAGUUGUUGCUGAUAAGCUUGCUUGUGCUGGUAGCCCUGUGUCUGAGAAAGAUCUGCUAAUGCAAAUUUUGAAUGGCCUAGGACCUGGAUUUCUAGAUCUUGCUUCAAUAAUUACUGCUAAUAGAAUGUCGUAUGAUGAUGCUUAUGCAUUACUCUUAACACAUGAGGCAAGAAUGGAACAAAAUCAUAAUACUAAAGAUCUUUUUAGUGCAAACUAUGGGAUGAUGAAUGCUAACUACUCUCAGUUUAGAGGAAAUAAUAAGAGAGGUGGUUAUAGUGGAUAUCAAGGGCAAUUUAAUGCUGGAAAUAGGAAUCAAAAUGGAGGAAGAGGAAUGUUUUUCAAUUCAUUCUCAAGAGGUUUUCCAGCUGGUGGAUAUACUGGUAAUGCUGGUGGCAGAGGACAGCAAAUGAAUGCAUAUGCUUAUAAACCUGUGCUUAACAACAGGCAUAAUUUCAAUAUGAAUCAUGGCUCAACUUCAAUGUCCAAUGGAAAUGGAUCUGAUGAUAAUGUGCUUAUCUGUCAAAUCUGUCAUAAAGCUGGACAUGCAGCUGAUGUUUGUUGGCACAGACACUUUGAUGGCUAUGCUCCUCAACCCAGACAAUUUGGAAGGGGCAGAGGGCAUAAGUCUGCUUAUAUGGCUAACUUUGAUCCACAAAUUGGCUUUACUUCACAAUUUGAAGAUUCAUUUGCUACAGAAUAUCCUGGUUAUCAUGGGUACCAUCCACCUGAUAUGAAUGCAUCAGUUGCAUCAGUAAGUCAUCACUCAUCUGAUAUGCAUUCUGUACCUGGAGCAGCUUAUAUUGCAAAUUUUGAAGGACCAGCUGAUGAAGGGUGGUAUCUUGAUAGUGGAGCUACGCAUCACAUCACUAACAACAUGGCCAAUAUGCAUAUCAGAGAUCAAUUCACUGGAGCAGAUCAGCUCAUUAUUGGAAAUGGACAAGGUUUGCCCAUAACUCAUGUUGGUGAUGCAUCCUUUCUCUUUAAAAGUUCCAAUUCUACACACAAACACUCACCUAUAGUACUUAAAGAUAUUCUGUUGGUGCCUUCCAUUACCAAAAAUUUGUUAAGUAUCUCGAAGCUUACCACUGAUAACAACUUGUCUGUUGAAUUUCUUGGAAAUGUUUGUUUUGUGAAGGAUUCUCUGAGGGGACAGGUACUUCUGCAGGGUCUUGCUGAGAAAGGGUUAUACAGGCUGUUAUUGAAAUCAUCAUCAUCCUCUCAGUUAUCAUCAUCUUUUCUUUCUCACAUGUGUUCCAAUAAACCUUUGUCUAUGCUUUCUUGUUGUUGUUUCAAUUCUGUUCCUUCUGGAGUUGUUACAGAAUCUCAGAAAUCAUGUAAUCAAACUGAUGAUUCAUCUUGUAAAACUUCAGUUAAUAAAGCUAUUUUGCUUCAUAGAAAGUUUGGUCAUCCCAAUCAUCAAAUAUUAACUCAUAUACUCAAAACAGCAAAAUCUAUUCAUUUACCUGCAUAUCAAAAGCAACAAAUGCAUCAGUACAUCUGUGAGGCCUGUCAAAUGGGCAAAACACAUAAACUUCAUUUUCCAAUUACUGAAACCAAAACCUCCAAAACUCUAGAACUUAUACACACUGAUUUAUGGGGUCCUUCUCCCAUUAUUUCUAGAGAUGGUUAUCAGUAUUAUAUAAGUUUUGUAGAUGACUACAGCAGGUAUACAUGGAUUUAUCCUUUGAAGCUAAAGUCUGAGGCAUUAGAAGUCUUUAAGCUCUUUAAACUGCAGGUUGAAAAUCAGUUUAGCACAACCAUUAAGAUGAUGCAAUCUGAUUGGGGGGGAGAGUAUAGACCAUUCACUGAGUUUUUAAGCCAAUUUGGUAUCAUCUUUAGACAUCCUUGUCCUUACACUCAUCAUCAAAAUGGGUUAGUUGAAAGGAAGCAUAGACAUAUUGUUGAAUUGGGUCUGACUCUCUUAGCUCAAGCUCAACUUCCCUUUAAGUUCUGGUGGGAUGCAUUUCAUACUGCUGUAUAUCACAUCAACAGACUUCCAUCUCCUGUUUUGCACCUUUUAACCCCAUAUGAAAAGACAUUCAAACACAAACCUGAUUAUGAUUUUCUCAGAUGUUUUGGGUGUUCUUGUUAUCCUUACUUGAGAGAUUACAAUAAACAUAAAUUUGCCUACCAUUCUAGUAAGUGCAUAUUCAUUGGUUACAGUCCUUCACAUAAGGGCUACAAAUGUUUACACCCUUCAGGUCGAGUCUAUGUGGCAAGACAUGUUACCUUUGAUGAAUCAGUUUUUCCUUAUGCCACUGAGUUUGUUUUUCAUAGUCAUGCUAAAACUGAUUCUCAAAUUUCUCAUUCCCAUACACCACAGCAAAUCCAUCAUAUCUCUUCUUUGCCUGUCAAUAACAGCACUGGUAAUCUGAACUCUGUAAGAUCUGGAAGCAGCAGUUCAAGUCACUCAGAUCAUCUAGAACAGACAGCAACUGAUCAGAAUUCACAACAAGCUACCAUAAAUGACAGGUCACCUUUUCAUACAUGUCCAACAAUUGUUGAAUCUAUACAAAAUAUUCCAGAACCUCCACAUCACUCUUUGCCUAUACAAAGUCACCAUCCUAGCAACACUUCUUUCUAUCCAUAUACACAACCAAAUACACAUCAGAUGAUAACCAGAAGUAAAGCAGGGAUUUUCAAACCCAAAAUUUAUACUGCUGUGCUUACUCACAAGGAACCAGAUACUGUGCAAGAAGCAUUAAAUGAUUCAAAGUGGCUACAAGCUAUGAGGGAGGAAUAUGAUGCCUUGAUUAAGAAUAAUACAUGGACAUUGGUUCCAAGACAAGCUGAUCAGCAUGUGGUUGGAAAUAAAUGGGUGUAUAGAAUCAAAUAUAAUACAGAUGGAAGUGUAGCUACGUAUAAAGCUAGACUUGUUGCAAAGGGUUUUCAGCAAGUGGCAGGGAUUAACUAUUUUGAGACAUUUAGCCCAGUUGUGAAGUCAGCUACAGUUAGAGUAAUACUUAGCUUGGCAGUGAUGAAUCAGUGGAGAAUAAGGCAAGUGGACGUCAAUAAUGCCUUUUUGAAUGGAGAGCUAACAGAAGAAGUUUUCAUGUCUCAACCUGAUGGCUUUAUUGAUGCUCAGAGAUCUGAUUUUGUAUGCAAAUUACACAAGUCUCUGUAUGGGCUCAAGCAAGCUCCUAGAGCCUGGUAUGACAAGCUUAAAGGAUGCUUAAUAAGCUGGGGUUUCACUACUACUAGUUCUGACACCUCAUUGUUUGUUAGGAAGAUCAAGACAUCUAUGAUCAUAGUUCUUAUAUAUGUUGAUGACAUACUGAUCACAGGUCCAAAUACUGAGGAGCUGGAAGGUUUCAUAACUGAAUUCAGCAAAACUUUUGCUCUAAAGGAUCUGGGAGUGUUAUCUUAUUUCCUUGGAAUUGAGGUAUUAUAUGAUGCAGAUUGUAUGUACUUGUCACAGAGAAAGUAUAUCAGAGAUUUGUUAUCGAAGGUAGAAAUGACUGAAUGUAAGGGCAUUGAUACACCCAUGAGUACUGGCUCUAAACUGCAAAAGAUAGUUCAGGGGGAACUUGGAUACUAUCUUGAAGAUCCAACUCAUUAUAGGAGCAUAGUUGGAGGAAUGCAGUACCUGAUACUUACCAGACCUGAGAUUGCGUUUGCUGUAAACAAGCUCAGUCAGUAUGUAGCUGCACCAACACUACAACAUCUAAUGGCAUGCAAGAGAGUUCUAAGAUAUCUAAAGGCAACUCAAGAUUAUGGUUUAAAAUUUUUCAGAGAAGGAAGCUUAACACUCACUAGUUUUACUGAUGCAGAUUGGGCAUGUGACUUAGAUGAUAGGAAAUCAGUUGGUGCUUAUUGCAUUUAUUUAGGCAAUAAUUUGAUAUCCUGGUCUUCUAAGAAACAAUCAGUGAUAACCAGAUCAAGUGCCGAGAGUGAGUAUAGAGCUUUGGCAUCAGUGAGUGCAGAGCUGACAUGGUUACAAUCCUUAUUUUCUGAGUUGGGAUUAAGUUGCAUAGAAAAGCCAAUCAUAUGGUGUGACAACAUUAGUGCCACUGAACUAGCAAAGAAUCCUGUGUAUCAUUCAAGAACAAAGCAUAUCGAAAUUGAUAUGCACUUCAUUAGGAAUAAGGUUCUUGCUGGUGAGUUGAUUAUUCACUAUGUACCAAGUGAAGAACAGAUUGCAGACAUAAUGACCAAGCCUCUUUCAUUUGUAAGGUUUAACUACUUGAGGUCCAAACUCAAUGUCCAUCUUUGUCCUCUGAGUUUGAGGGGGGCUGUUAGAGCAACUCAUUAUGCUGAACAGAAGAAGGUGAAGACUAAGAUGAAGAAAAUACAGAGCAAGUUACAAGGCAAGUGUGUCAGCAGUGCCAGCUCAGCUAACAGCUCAGCAGAUUAGUUAAAGAUGGUUGUAAGCAUGAUGUGCAUUGUACUGAAGUUAGUUAGCUUUGAUUACAGUUAGUCUUUGGAUUAGUUAAAUGAAGUUACCGUGAUUGCAUACAGGUGAUGCUUUGUAAAAAGGUUAAGCAAAAUAAAAAUCAAAGUUUGUUAAGGAAGUAUCUCCAGAAUUAUCAAUUCAUUUUCUUAGUAACCAAACAACUUUAUUUUCAUUUUCUUUCAAUAUGGAUAUCUGGGGUUUGUUUUGUCUUUUAGGAGCAGCAUUACCUGUCGAAAGUUCAAAGAGCUCACUGAACUUAAGCAUUCGGGGUUGAAAAUGGACGAGAUAUAUGCAGUGGAGUUCAUUGGAGGAGCUACUAUAGUGCCAAAGUUGCAGGUUUGCAAUAUCCGCUUUGUUUUGGUAGUUAGCCCGAGUAUUAAAUUCUUGAGGCGUGUAAGGUAGUGGACUUUAGCCAAUUCAAGAGUAGAAUAUAAUAUGUUUACUUGUUUUGAUCUUAAUCUUUAAUCACUUACCCUGAAUAAGAAAUAAUUUUUUAUAUUUGCUCUGCUAUGAUGUUAUUCGGUGUUAAUAGCUUCGUUUUAUUGCUCUUUUCCGCACAAAUUCUUGAUCUCAAAAGAACUUUUAUUUUGAAUAUUCUGCGUAAGGACAAUCUGAUUUAAUACCAUCAGUGAUUUUUCAUUUUUUCUCUUUAGUUUUAAUAUGUUUGAUAACUGUAUGGUUAAGCAAUCUAUGCAAUUUUAUCUUGUCGUAUGUUUGAGCUCAUUUUUUGUUGCACUUCUGAAUAUUUGGUAUUAAUUAUGUGAUAUCGGACAAUACUAUUAACUUGUUAAUUGCUUAAAUCUAAUAUCUUGUCAAAGUCACUAAUAGCAUUUCAUCAUGCAAUGAGUUAAACAUGGAACAAAUGAUGACAUGCGGUUGUGGAAUGUGUUAGAUCUCUGGGAUUCUAUGUCCUUAUGCUUGCAGGGCAACACAAUACAUUUGUUAAAACAUUGAAGACUGUGAUGUCCGCAGAAAAUUAUACGUCAACUUAUGCACCAGGCAUGAUGAAAUUAGCCAAAGACAGUGCUUGGAAGUGGCAAGCGACAAUUUGCUUCUACCAAUGACUUCAGAUCUUAAACCUGUUUCAAGCAAGGCCAGCAAUGACAUUAUGUUCAAAACAGUUUAGCCAGACACACUUGUUCACACCCCUCUACUACAUAUAACCUAGAGGUACAUUUUUUCUUUACAUUCUUUCUAUACGAUUGGGAUUAGGCUUAUCCAGUUCAAUACAUUAUUUCACAAAACUUAUACCAACUUAUUCCUAAUUAUAGUGGACACAAUUAACUUACUUUGGCAAUUGUUUCGAAGAGGUUGACAUCAACUACCAGUGAUGACAAUCUCUUGUAAUGUUUUGGUGCUAUCUACUAAAUAUUACUACUACAUAAUAUUGACAAUUCAUCUAUGUGCAGGCCCGUGAUAACCAUUUAGAUCGACCAGAUAAAGGACUUGGACAUCAACAAUUUGCCCAGAAACCAAUAAGAUAUUGUAAUCAUAAGCAAUCACCCAUCUCUUUGGAUGGUGCUCUAUUGUGAUUCUUUCCUCUAUGACUGUUAAAUAAGCAAUGUAUUGCACUUUUGUUAUGCAAAAGUAUGGCGACCAUGUAUCAACCAGUGCAUCUAUUUUAUACACUAAUUAUGACUUACUAGAAAUUUUAUUACAUUAAUCAUUUUUAGAUAGCUACUCAUCGCAAACGAAAUAAACUGUUCAGGGACACUUGACCCAACAUGCUUGUGACCGACCUUAGAAUAAUUUUUUGUCACUUAAUAUAGACAACUUCUACGAGGUUAAUAUUUCUUCAAAUUUUAACAAAAUCAUUGGCCACAUGAAAACAUACACAUGUUUCCGUUGGCAUGUUAAGUAGACGGGAACAACAUGCGGGGUAUGUACGCCAUUACCUUAAACGAAGCAAAAUUAUCUUGUGUUUAUCAAAGUUUGAAACUAAUUCUGUGCUUACAAAGAAUGUAUGAAUAACGCAUUAUACUCAUACACCAAAUUUUAAUAUGAUGGAAUCAAGUAAUUCUGUCUUAAUCAAAGUUUUUAGACUUACAAGAUGAUGGUCAAGUUUAUAUAAAAGCAAAUAACACUGAAAUCUAAUCAUCCUAUACAAACAAAUAUGAUUUAUUCAAUUAUAGCAAACAAUUGUUUUAUCGGAGUUAAUUACAUUAUUGCUAAACUUGUAUAAGUUUUCCUGUUUCAAACAUAUCUACUUAAUUACAUUAUUCAUCGACAAUGUUACUUUGCCAGUGGAAGUUUCAUUUUUUCAUACCUUAAUCACUAUUUAAUGCUUCGUUUUCCAAUAGUUCUAAUUCUUCAAAUUUUGGUUUUAUUCUUCCAUAAUUAUAAAUUGAUACUGAUUCGCAUGACUCAAAUUAAAGUGGUUAAUUACUCUAAAGUAUAAAUCUAGCAGUCAAUAAUUACAUAAAAAUAAUUGCAAAAAAAAAGUUAAUAAGGAAUAGUAUAAAUUUAAAAACUGCCAAAGUUACGAGAUAUAUGCUUGAUAUUUAAAUCAUGGCCAUAAUACUUUCUCACAUUAUAUAUAUAUAUAUAUAUAUAUAAUGUGAUUCAGUUCUUUAAUUAACCACUCUAUGAAUAAAUAUGAGAAUUAAGUACAUAUUAUGCCACAACCUUAUUGAAGUGUUCCCACUACAAUAUUAGUAGUCAACAUUAGGUCUAAACACCCACAUAAAUCCAAGGGAUCUAGAUCUACAAAUAUUAACCACUCUAUGAAUAAACAUGGGGAUGAAGUACAUAAUUGCCACGACCAUAUUGGAAUGUUUCCACUACCAUAUUCGUGUGUCAACGUUGCGUCUAAACAUUUAUAUACAUCCAAGCAAAUUUAUAUUUGUAAAUAAAUAUAAAAUAUGGAAUGAAAAUAAUCGGUAGAAAAUAUAAAUUACAAACAAUAAACUUAAAAUACAUUUGAGAAAGUAAUUAAAUCCACAAUUUAGAUCCUUGAAUUUCACACUCAUCACCUUAGCUUAAAACAUUAGCCACUCAUAUUAAUAAAAAAAACACUCAUUUUGUUUUAUAAAUUUGUAAAAGUAUAAUACAAGAAAAAUUAAAAUAAAGAAGAGAAAAAAAAAAUCUCUUCUUAUUAACUACACUUCUUCAUAAAAUUCACUCUAAAUUUCUCUAGGAAACUCACCUCUAAAAUUCUACACACCGAAUUAUCAAAUCUCUUGCCUUUAUAUAAAGGUAAAUUCUAGGUUGAUCAAGUGUGGGUAUUUACAUGAUAUUUUUGGUGAACUUGCAACCACAACCUUUAAAUGACCUUUGAUAAUACAAAUACAAUCCAAGGGGUCCAAAAUUGCAAGUAUUGUCAUGCAUAAUAAAACGGUUCAUUCAACAUAAUCAAUGGCUAUAAAGAAGUCAAAUCGGGAUCCUCCAUUGGAUUUUUUUUUCUUAAUUAUUCAAGGUGGUUGAAUCACUAUAUUGAUAAGUAUUAAAUUUAGUAUAAAGAGGUGCAUGUGAGCUCAGACACACGACACAUAUCAACUUUUCAGAAUUAAUGUUAGAUAAAACGGCUACCAAUAUUUUUGUGAAAAUUAAAAUUAAAAUUUUUACUUUUAUUUAAUGUAUACUUUCUAGUAUUAAUCAUUAAUGAACAAUUUUUUAUUUCAUCGCCGUCUAGAUUGCUUUUAUCUUAUACAAAUUUAUUUAAAACCUUUAAAUAGUUUCUAACCACUAUAUAAUUUUAUCUGUCGUCCUUAAUCUUGUUAUCCACAACUGACCAACAUAUUGUUACCUACCAUUAUAGUUGUGUAAUUCACCUUUUGUUAACUGACUUCACUAAUAUAUUUUAAAAGAAACGUGGCCAUCUGUUGCUCGUUGGAUCACUUGCUUUUAAAUCCAAUAAUUCCGUGAGAUAAAGACAAAACGCUUGCUAUAGCGCUACAGUUACAACAUAGACGUGGCCGUAGAGGCGAGAAAAAAAAUCUAUUUGUUUAGUCACUGUACACUUUUUCAUUCAUUUUGUCCGCUUCCAAAUCCUCGGGAGAAACAACACAAAUAAAAAAAAGAUUUUAAGAAAUUUGAUGCCUUGUUCGCCGAAUCUCUCCACUUUUAAAUAGUGUCGUGAUCCUGAUCGUGUGAUCUGGUAAUGGUAUGACAAUUACUUUGGAGAAAACACCGGCCCACUUUUAAUAAAAUAAAUUUUAUACCAAACGAAUCAUAAGGCAAAAACACUGCACUUACCUAUCCAUACUGAUUAAACUCCCUCACCAUCACAUUUUAAUAAUGACAAUUGGUUGUGUUAGCAUUUUGGUCAAAAGGCUGGACCCCCCCGCCCCCACAAAACAAACAAAAAAAAAUUAUGAUAAUAAUUAACAUUCAUAAAUAAAAAUUAAUAAUGGGUGUGUUAGCAUUUUGGUCAAAAGCGGGUUUGACCUUCACAUUAAUUGGAAUUUUGGAUCUAUAAUAUGAUUUUCACCGAAAAUAUAAUUUUGCCGCUAAUUAUUUGGGUAAUCAGAUAAUAAUAACAAAAAAAUGUUAUCUCUCACCUAUAACUUGAGGAGAUAAUAAUAAAAGUCUUUCAUCAUAAUCUACUGUUAGUUUCUCUUCUUCAUUUUUUUCUCCUUUGAAGUCUUUCAACAAAAAUGGGUGGCAUCAUCUCAACCUUCUUCUCAGCGGACACAAUUCGUCCAAUUUUAUUUUACGUCGGUGGACAAGCAAAGUAUAUAUGGGGUCUUAAAGGUAAUCUCGAUGACUUGCAGACUCAAAAGGAGAACUUGAUUGCGAAAAAACAAGAUCUGCUGAAUAAGGUUAAGCUUGCCGCGCAACAACCCCGAAUCAGACGGACGACGACGGUGGAACUUUGGUUUAAAAGGGUGGAAGAAAUGGAAACUAAAGUUGAAAAUCUGCAAAAAGAAGGAGAUCAACAGGUUGAUAGACUGUGUCUUGGAGGCUUCUGUUCCACGGACUUGAUUUCAAGCUACGACUUCGGCAAAAAAGUGGAGAACUUGAGAGAAAAAGUGAUCGAACUGAAGAAAGAGGGGGAAGCAAUGAAAGAAGUUUAUGAGGGGGUACCAGAAGGUGCAGCGGUUGAAAAAGCUGUUGACCGAACAAUCGUUGGUCAAGAAUCAAUACUUGACCGAGUGUGGAGAUGCAUCACAGAUCAAGAAAAGAAUGAGGAAAUUAUUGGCUUAUAUGGUAUGGGGGGCAUCGGCAAAACUACUCUGUUAAAACAAGUCAACAACAAGUUCUGCAGUGAGGAGCAUGAUUUUGAUGUCGUUAUCUGGUCGGUUGUAUCUAGAGAGCCAAACUUGAAGCAGAUUCAAGAGGAUAUUGGGAAAAGGAUAGGCUUCUCAACAGAUUCAUGGCAGGGAAAAAGUUUUGAAGAAAGGGCUUCAGACAUCACCAACACUUUAAAGCAUAAGAAGUUUGUAUUGUUAUUGGAUGAUAUAUGGGAGUCCGAAAUUGAUUUAACAAAAUUGGGCGUCCCUCUUCGGACACUAGAUUCUGGGUCCAGAAUAGUCUUCACAACUCGUUUUGAGGGUACUUGUGGUAAAAUGGGAGCCCAUAAGAAUCGGUACAAAGUGUUUUGUUUGGGAGAUGACGAUGCCUGGAAAUUAUUUGAGGGGGUGGUCGGGAGUUACGUUCUUAACAAGCAUCCCGACAUUCCGAAGUUAGCCGAGGAUGUGGCACGUCAGUGUCAUGGUUUGCCGCUGGCCCUCAAAACAGUAGGUAAUGCCAUGGCGAG